UUGCUUGUAGCAAAAAGAUU
rnacentral:snRNA from 1 species